UUAAUCGCAUGGUCUUUCGGAUUGACUCCUUGUGUCACCAGAUACACUGAGAGGGAAAGUUAAAUCUUGUCAGAACCUGUUAACUUUCAUUACACGUGACGUGAAAGCAAACCAUGAAGGUGUAAAUCUUACUCCAGAACAUUGAGUUGAGGGCAUAUGCAGACAUCAGAUCCAAUUUAGCUCGAUCAAGAGGAUCCAGCUUAAAUCAGGUACAAAAAGAUUU